rnacentral:lncRNA from 1 species
UUUAUGAACAGAGCCGCCUGUUUUCCCGGCAGAGAUAAAUCAUCUGAGCCGGCAGAAACAAAGGAAGAAUCUUGUCCUGCUUUACACAGAGGCCACAGUGACAUUUCUUCUUUCUCCCCACCCCCACUUCCUUUUUUAAAGUAUAAUGUACACUUAGUGAAAUAUGUAAGUAUACAGCUGGGUAAUUCUUUUUUUUUAAGUUUAUUUAUUUAUUUUGAGAGAAAGAGAGCACGAUCAGGAGAGGGGCAGAGAGAGAGAGAGAGAGAGAGAAUCCCUAUCUGCAUUGUCAGCCCCACGAAGGGGCUCGAACUCACAAACUGUGAGAUCAUGACCUCAGCCAAAAUCAAUAGUAGGAUGCUUAACCGACUGAGCCACCAAGGCACCUCUAUAGCUGGAUAAUUCUUCACAUAUUUGUACACACAUGUAACUAUUGCCUGUGUGAAGAUAGUGGGGGCUCAUCACUAUUGCCCCUUUGGGACAAGGUAACCCCUGUUCUAGAACCUCAUGUAAAUGGAGUUCACUGUAUGUUUUAUUUGGGUAAGUGGGUAAGUCUUCUUCUUCUUCUUCUUCUUUUUAAUUUUUUUUUUUUUUUUUUUUUUUUUUUUUUUUUUUUUUUAGUAUUCUCUACACCCAACAUGGGGCUGGAACUCACAACCCCAAGAUCAAGAGUUGCAUGCUGCACCCACUGAGCCAGCCAGGUGCCCCUGCAUAAGGUUUCUUGAGCUCCACAAAAGUUUUUUUAAAUUUUUUUUUGUUUUUUUUUUUUUUUUUUUUUUUUUCAUUUUUUUUUAUUUUUUUUCAACAUUUAUUUAUUUUUGGGACAGAGAGAGACAGAGCAUGAACGGGGGAGGGGCAGAGAGAGAGGGAGACACAGAAUCAGAAACAGUCUCCAGGCUCCGAGCCAUCAGCCCAGAGCCAGACGUGGGGCUCGAACUCACGGACCGUGAGAUCGUGACCUGGCUGAAGUCGGACGCUUAACCGACUGCGCCACCCAGGCGCCCCUAAAUUUUUUUUUCAACGUUUAUUUAUUUUUGGGACAGAGAGAGACAGAGCAUGAAUGGGGAGGGGCAGAGAGAGAGGGAGACACAGAAUCGGAAAACAGGCUCCAGGUUCUGAGCCAUCAGCCCAGAGCCAGACGUGGGGCUCGAACUCACAAAACUGUGAGAUCAUGACCUCAGCCAAAAUCAAUAGUAGGAUGCUUAACCGACUGCGCCACCCAGGCGCCCCCUCCACAAAAGUUUUUGAGAUUCAUCCACGCAGCUGCAGAUGCCAAUAGUUGGCUUGUUCUCACUGCUGUGUAAUAUUCCAUGGGGUGAGUGAACCACUCAUUUUUUUUCUGCUCUCUUCUUUGUGGAUAUUCGCAUUAAUUCCCAGAUUUUGAUCAUAUUAAAAAGCAAGU